CCCUUAGAUGUUCUGGGCAGCACGCGCGCUACAAUGGUCUUCGCAAACGGAUGCAUUCUCGAAGGAGAAUGCCAAUCUUGGAAUCUAUGCCUUGGUCGGGACAGUUGCUUGCAAUUUUUCGACUCGAACCAGGAAUUCCUUGUAAUCGUGAUUCAUCACAUCACGAUGAAUACGUCCCUGCCCUUUGUACACACCGCCCGUCGCUCCUACCGAUUGAAUGUUCCGAUGAAUACCAUGGACUGAGAGUAUGAAUGGGUUCGCUUAUUUCUGCUUCUCGGGAAGUGGAGUAAAUCUUAACAUUUAGAGGAAGGAGAAGUCGUAACA
rnacentral:rRNA from 1 species